rnacentral:lncRNA from 1 species
UUGGCACUCAGUACUGACAAACUAAAAGAUUCCUAUUUAAAUACUCUUUAUUUCUAUUUAUUUGCAGGUCAGUAUGGUCCUGGUUUGUCCACACUUCUGGCUGGGUUUCUUCAUAGUCCCCAUUGUGUGCCUGAUUCUAAAUCUAUUAUGGACAUCGAUUAGAAACACCUACAACAGAACGUUCCUAGAAGAGGUUCGUGAGAUGGAAAGUAGCAGAGUUCAAGGACCGCAUCUUCCAACAGUGCUUGAAAAGGGUGACCUAAAGCCAGGUUAUGACGGAUUUACUCACACGGUGAAGACAAGUCACCUCCAGCUGUCUCCACCCAGCCCGCUGCACCAGGUUGUCUUCCAGGACGAAUCCGUUAAUCGAAGUGGCCCGCAUGGGUACGCGUUUUCUCAGCUAGAAGGAGUCUGUUCUUCUGACUCUACGAAACUCAAAACCAGCCAGGAGCUUAAGUACAAUCUCUGCUGAGUCCAGCUAUGGGUGAGGCUUGGACCCCCACCCGCGGUGUUCUCAGGUCCUUCCCCGAGACUGCAGCCCGUGUCAGCACCCCCAAGUGCUCACCUCUUGUGACUCUGGCCAACUUGUUUAUGUUAUCGACUGAACCUCAAUCUUUGGAUAUAAAUAAUGGGGGGAGCCUAUUUGUUUUGUAAUUUGCCUUCAGUUUUUACCCAGCUGUGGGAAGCUGCAAAGAUUCAGCUGCUUGGCCAUUUGCUUGCCGGCAGGGGCAAGGGACCGGACAAGUGACGACCCAACGUAAAGCUCAGUGAGGGAACACGACACCCAACUUGUUUACUUUUUUGCAGUUGUGAGAUAAUCAGUUCAGUCUGAAGUAUAGAAUUAAAAGCAUUUUGUUUCACCAAAAUUUAAGCUCUGGUCUGAGUGGUUUUGGGAGGAAAGGUAAAGAAUGUCAGGAUGCAUAAUAAGCCUCCUUACUUACCUGCAAAAGAGUCACACAGAAACUUCGUACUUUGAAAAUUCGCAGAUUAAGGUAGGGCAUAUAAAGGCAGAAUAUAAAAUAUUUUUCUAAGUAGGUUGUCCUGUCACUUUGUGAAUCAUUUUUAAUUUGUACAAUAUUUGCACAGUAUUCUUGGUUUCAAUAAAUUCAAAUAGGUGGG